rnacentral:lncRNA from 1 species
ACUAAAUUUCAAAUAGCCAAGCACUUCGAUCAAAAUCAAAUCAACAAAACCUCACGAAAUCACAUCAACCAAUGAAAUACCACUUAAUCGACAAAUUGUCCAAUAUUAUUGAUCAAUCAUAUUUUGUAUCGCACAAUUCCAAAGUUUUAUUUAAUCCAAUAAGUAAAUCAAUUUCAUAAAUGCAAAAAUCUAACCUUAAAAAUCAGCACUGACAAAAAUCUUCCCAAAGCCAAUCACUCUCGAUCAAUCGCAAAUUACACUUAAAUAUCGUUUCAUCGACAAACCGUCAAUGUUAAACUCGGAUCACUUCUCAUCGAUCAGUCAUUAAUGUCAACUAUCCACUAUAAAUACUUCUUCCGAAUAAAACCAAAAUUAUCGUAAAAAGAAUGGUAUCAAAGUAACUCGAACGAGGGUGCUCGAAUGUCGUAUAAAAUAAUUUACAGUUCGUCUAUGCAAAGUAUAACCACCAGCAAAGUAUGUGAAUGUGCGUCGAUAUGCGGCGUCUUGCUUGACCAACGAUGCAAGACGAGUCGAUAGGCUUAUCGAUUAGUCGACGCGGUCCAUCGCGGAAUGUCAGUAUCGAACAGCGGCGAUUGCUGUCCGAUAUCUAGUCGAUAUCUAGUCGAUUUCCAGCCAAUUCAUGGUAGUUGGAUGAUUCAGGGGAACGUUGACUGUGAGCUCGCCCCUGGCGCCGUGGCCUGUUUAAUUUUAGGGUAUUACGCGUGCAGGCGGCAGCCUGGUCGAGGCUAAAGGGUACCUCUGCCUCGGUAUUUGCCAAGAUAUUAUCGUGAAAAAGGGAAAGGAGAGAAGCAGUGGGUAACGAGGAGGGCGUGUCCGUUGGUUCGAGACGAGCCUCUAGGAUGCAUCCGACACUGUUUCGCGAAUUAGCCCCGUCUCGAAUCAUCGUGGCCCAUCAGGGAAAUCGUCGUGACUCGGGGUUGCUAGGCAAUACGUCGAAUGGGUAUCCUGUUCUUUGGAAUUGUGCGAAUCGGUUCAAUGCCUUUGCCAAUGAUGGUUCUCUGAACCAGUGUUUCUCAACUUGUGGAUCGUGAUUCUUAAAAAAAUCAGUUACAGCAUAAAUUGAGACACAAGUUAAAUAGAAAUGUAAAAUGCGGUGAUAAAAUACUGAUAGAAAUAGGUUUUGUAAAUAGAAGAGAAAUUUUAAACGGAAUACGUGCAUAAAAUAUGCAAGGUGACAGAGAAAGUGCAGCUAUCCUGAUGAAAAAUCAAUAUCAGAUAGAAAAGGAACAAAAAUUUCUUCAAAUUAAAAAAAAAAAUGUUAAAAUAAUUUGCAUAUACUACAAUUAAAAACAAAUCAGAAAUCAUACUUGAAUUAUCGAGGCGCUGAUUUUUUAUCUACGGAUGAAAUCAUAUAAUACGAUUAUGAUAUUUGCAUACAUUUCUUUCUCGUUGCAAGCGAUUGAUAUUCUCCAAUCAUUUCCAUAGAUCAAUCUCUCGAAGUAGAAAGAACGAGCGGCCUAUAAGAAAUAUCGACAGGAAUGAUUAUUGGCAAAUAACCGGAGGUAUAAUUAUAUAUCAGAGGAUGUAUAUAUACUAUGAAACGACGCACCGCUGAAAGUUCGGUAUAUUUAACAGUGGCCGCACGUAUGAGAUAUAAGUUUGAUAUCGAAGUUGCGUGCAGAAUCACCGAAUUAUCGACUUGCAGCGAUCGAAGUGUGAAGCGUGCCGACGAUCGUGCGUCGAAUUUAUAAUCGAUUUUUUGUAAGUCUUGAGAAACUAGUAUCCAUUCGUUUCAAAAUUCAACGAGUUUAUUCAAUUGUAAGUUGUAGAAAGGAUAAAAUAUCGUUAAAUUAUUUGUAUUUUAAUUAU